GCUGGAUGUGGAGGCGUGUGCCUGUAGUCCCAGCCACUCAGGAGGCUGAGGCUGGAGGAUCUGUUGAAUCCAGGAGUUCUGGGCUGUAGUGCGCUAUGCUGAUUGGGUGUCUGCACUAAGUUUGGCAUCAAUAUGGUGACCUCCUGGGAGCGGGGGACCACCAGAUUACUUAAGGAGGGGUGAACCGGCCCAGGUCAGAAACGGAGCAGGCCAAAACUCUGGUGCUGAUCAGUAGUGGGAUCACGCCUGUGAAUAGCCACUGCACUCCAGCCUGUUCAACAUAGUGAGACCCCAUCUCUA
ensembl:misc_RNA Metazoa_SRP Metazoan signal recognition particle RNA